rnacentral:lncRNA from 1 species
CAGAGCAUUCAUUCAUUCACUCUGUCACCGGUUCAAUCCUGAGCACCUAGGAGGCACUGGGUUAGCUGCAGGGGUCCUGACCUGGGAUGGGUCACUGGUGAAGACACCGGUCCAGGUCCCUUCCCAAACCUCAGCAGGGCUAUGAUGAGUCAAUAUUCGUUGACAAAUUAACUGGCUUGGGAAUCACCUGGGAAACACACCUCUGGGCAUGUCUGUGAGGGUCUGAAGAGGUUUUAAAUGGAAGAGGAGGAAACACCAACCCUGAAGGAACUAACCUCCCAAAGGGAACAAAGCCAGGAUCCUGUAAACAAACAAACGGGCUAAUUACAGGUUAGCUAUAGCUGAGAUCUGAAGUGUUUCCAAAAGGCCUUUGUGUUGCUUGGAACUAGGAGAAGGCAGAUGAACCCAGAGGGCAAAAGCAGUCAUGUUCAGAAACCUCUGGAACGCUCAAGGUGAGCCUUUAUUCAAGUUGAUCAGCUCAAGCAUUUUACUACAGUAACAGACGGUGCCCAAUAGUGUCCUGUGCGUGUAAAAAAGGCAGCCCA